rnacentral:misc_RNA from 1 species
GAUGAAGAACGUAGCGAAAUGCGAUAAGUAAUGUGAAUUGCAGAAUUCAGUGAAUCAUCGAGUCUUUGAACGCACAUUGCGCCUCCUGGUAUUCCGGGGGGCAUGCCUGUCCGAGCGUCAUUGCUGCCCUCAAGCACGGCUUGUGUGUUGGGCCCCCGCCCCCCGGCUUCGGGGGGCGGGCCCGAAAGGCAGCGGCGGCACCGCGUCCGGUCCUCGAGCGUAUGGGGCUUCGUCACCCGCUCUGUAGGCCCGGCCGGCGCCCGCCGGCGACCCCAAUCAAUCUUUCCAGGUUGACCUCGGAUCAGGUAGGGAUACCCGCUGAACUUAAGCAUAUCAAUAAGCGGAGGA